rnacentral:rRNA from 1 species
UUCUUUUAUGAUAUAUUAAAAGUAAAGUCUGCCCACUGAAAAUUAAAGGGCCGCGGAAUUUAACUGUGCAAAGGUAGCAUAAUAAUUAGUUUUUUAAUUGAAAAAUGGAAUGAAUGAUUUAAUAUAAUUAAAUUUUUAUUUUUUAAAAAUUGAAUUUAGAUUUUUAGUUAAAAUACUAAUAAGUUUUAUUAAGACGAUAAGACCCUAUAGAUCUUUAUCUACUUUAAAAUCUUAAGUGGAUAAAUUUAGUUAAUUAAGAGAUUUAAUUGGGGUGAUUUAAUAAUAAUUUUAACUUCUUAAUUAAAUUAGAUCUUGAAUAUCGGAAGGAAAAAGAUACCUUAGGGUUAACAGCGUUAAUAAUUUUGAGAGAUCAUAUUGAUUAAGAGAAUUGCGACCUCGAUGUUGGAUUAAAA